rnacentral:rRNA from 1 species
GACAGAGGGUGCAAACGUUGUUCGGAAUCACUGGGCGUAAAGGGUGCGUAGGCGGGUCUUUAAGUCAGGGGUGAAAUCCUGGAGCUCAACUCCAGAACUGCCUUUGAUACUGAGGAUCUUGAGUUCGGGAGAGGUGAGUGGAACUGCGAGUGUAGAGGUGAAAUUCGUAGAUAUUCGCAAGAACACCAGUGGCGAAGGCGGCUCACUGGCCCGAUACUGACGCUGAUGCACGAAAGCGUGGGGAGCAAACAGG